rnacentral:lncRNA from 1 species
AUGGCCGCCCCGGGUCGCCCCCCCCCCCCCCGCCCCGGUGCCCCUCUCCUGCCCGCGGGGGGGGGGGGCAGCCCUGCGCGCCCCGCUCCCCGGCUCCGCGGUCUCCCCGCCUCCCCGCGCCCCGAGCGCCGCACCCCGCGCACCCGCGUCCCCCGCGGGCUCGGAGCCCUCCGCACCCCGCUCGCCCGCUGUCCGCCCCGCUCCCCGCCGGGUUCGAGUCCCCAGCUGCGCCCGGGCAGGCGGGAGGGGGCCCGGGGAGGGGGGAGCCCGGGGAGGGGGGCCCCGGGGAGGGGUCCGGGGGUCCGUGCGCCCCGGCGGCCGGGGGAGCGGGGCGCGCGUCCCCGCCCGCAGCUCGCGCCCCCCGCGCCCCCGCGCAGCCCUGCCCGCCGCCGCCCGGCAGCCCUCCCGGGCCCGCCCCGGGCCUGCGCCGCGCGCCCCGCCGAGCCCCCCGCGGGCCAGGGCGGCCCGGGUGCAGCGCGGCCUCGGGGUACUCACCGCCCGCGCGGCGCGGGGCUGCGGCCUCACCGGGCUGCCGGCCCCGAUGCCCGCCCCCGCCGGUGUCCUCGGCGCCCCCCGAGCGGCCGUCCGUCCGGAGCCGCGGCCGGGGGGCCCAGCAUCCCGGCCCCCGCGCCGCCCGCUGCCAGGCCGGGGGAGCGCCCGCGAGCCUGGGUGCGUCCCGGGGCGCGCGAGCCUAACCCGGGCUUCCUUCCAAUCCGUGCAGUUUCAAAUCUCCACGCUCGUUCAUUCCUAUACCGGCUAAUUCUGGUUUGGCAGGAAAAAAUUGCAGUCAUCUCACGUGCACACUCUUGUGGCCGGUUGAAGUUUAGGGCUUUGGCUCAGGCGGAGGCUCUGCACGUUUCUAGACCCGAGUGGAGGCUCCGAAACCUCACCCCACGCGCGCCCGGGGGCGGGGGCGGGCAGCGUCUGCCCUUUGACCGAGAGCAGCGGGGGAGUGAGGAGCAAACCCGGGAAAUACGGCCCUUUGCACAAGGACCAGCAGGUGGGCAGGCCCCCGGUCUCCUUGGCCCGAGAGGCCUGAAGAUC